rnacentral:lncRNA from 1 species
AAGCCCAAGAGGCUUUCCCUAACUCCAAAACGGCGACCUUUAAAGUAAGGGAGGGUUGGGGCACCACAGCGGCCGGAUUUCUAAUUGUGGAAAGUUUAAACAAAUUUGUCCCUCGGGGAAUGGGGGAAGGGAGAGAAGAACAAGUCUGGGCUCGGCCGGGGAGCGUGCGGAGUCUGCACGCCGCGGCCGUCGGUCCAACGCGGGGAGGCUCAGGGAUUUUCGGCAGCAGCGACUUCAUCCACCCCGGACCGCCGGCUGGAGGACGUGCCUGCAGCCGGCGGGUACCUGCGGCCAAUUCGGUGGAACGAGGACGCGGACUGCGAAGGCAGGUACCCUCCUCUGAAAUCAAAACUCUUUAAUUAAAGAGACAUGAAAUGACAAGAUUUUAAAAAAAUCCCAUGAGGAGAAGGCAUUCUAAUUUAGGAAGAACUCCCCCUUGGAAAAACCAUCAGUGCCGGAAGAUUUCCUAUUGUGUUGAUCCAUGGCAAAGGAGACUGCAGAUACACAAGGGAUAUUAUGGAGCCCAGACGACCUGAAUAAAACCCUUCCCUACUACAAGGACAGCUGUCCCUUCCCUACACACUCCCUACAGGCUGAUGAGAGACCUUUUUUGGAAGCAGAAACUUAUACUUUAUGCUGCCUUCUUCCUGACUGCCAGGAUUAUACUCUUCCUUUCCAUCCCAGAUCUAGCAAUGCUGUUGAUGAGGCUAAGUCAUGAUGAUUUCUUUAAUAUCUUGGAACACAGUAGAUGCCUGAUAUUUGCGGAUGGACUGGAGAAAAACUGAAAGUAUAAACCACAACAUCUCAAGAGAUGUCAUGAAUGGAGAAGCAUAUGGUAAAAUAUAAUGAAAAUUAAAUCUACUUUACAAGUGGUAUCUUCUUGACAAUAGUGGCAUUACCUGAGCCAGUAUCAGGGACCAGAAAUACAACAUAAAACUGAUACAUUUCUCUUAAUCCCCACAUGAUUUUGUUUUUGAGUUUAUAGUUAUCAGUGAUCAUUGAUUAAUAAUUGAUCAGUGAUCAGUGACAAAUGUAUACUUUUUCUACUUGUAUUGUUAGCCCUCAGAUUGAUGGUAGUUAGCCCAGGAAUGGAAAGACCAAGGGGAGAUGAUUUAAUUCUAGUCAAAUAUUAAAAGGUCAUCAUGUAAAUGAAAUAAUCCCAAGACUACAACUAGAGGGGCAGAUUUCAGCUUACUAUUAGGGAGUAAUUUCAACAGGAUAUGGAAGGGAUAUCCAAAUGGCAGGGAGGCCAUUGUGGGAUAUGACAGGGACGCCAUUGCAGGAAAUAUAAGAACAGAAGAUCCUCUGGGGGAUUUUUGUUCUUUGUGGGAGUUUGGAUUAGCUGCUCCUGCCUGGGAUCCUUUCAGCUCUCAAUUCUGUGAAACUCAACAAUGAAAGCAGAGGUGUUUUCCUUUACUUAGCUAGUGCCAACACAAAACUUUGAACUCAAGUGACCUGAUAACAUAACUGUGGGUCAAUACCGAGGAACUAACACUCCUAGUUCCUUUUCAAUUCCCCAAGACAACAUCAGUAUAGAUUUUCAAGAUGAAUAUAUGCCCAGUAAGUAUGGCUUAUCCUGUACUGGAAGAAUAGGUUCUUUCACACUUAAUGUGAUUAUUUUUUGUCUUCAUAGGGUGACUUCAAGUCUUUUUUAAUGUGAACCUUACAGUGGGGUUUGUUCUGAAUAUAUUUAUUUGCAUUUGAUAUAGAGAGGCUCAAAAAAGGAAAACUGACGGACCUAAUAAAAUAAAAAAAUAGUAGUUGAAUAAAAAAAUUUCUGGAGGGACACACAAAUAAUGGUUACUCUCUCUGCAUGCCAUGGGAGAUAGUGGUGAAGGGAGGAGGGACACUUUUGCAAUUCAUUUGAUCUCUUCCACAGUAUCUGAAUUAUUUGCAAGUAUACGUAUUCCAUUUGUAAUAAAAAAGUAAAGACUAGAAAUUCUUUUUGGAAAACUGUACAUACUGUAGAACAUGGCUCUGUGUUGUUUGUCUCUGGAUUUCCAGUGACUAUCAAAUAGGUGCUCAAGAAAUUGGAUAAUUAUGUGAAUGAAUUCAUGAAUUGAAUGAAUGAAUGAACAGACUAUGCUGUUCUGUUUGAAAAUAAGUAUGGACUUACAAGAAUGAAAAGUCUUCAACACUUGGAAUAUGUUUUCAAUAAAGAUCAGGCCUCUCAUCUAUAAUAAU